CUCACGUCCUCCCUAGCCGAGAAGGCGCUUUCGGAAGCGAGCGGUCGCCGGCAUCGUGGCUAAGCCUGGCUUCCUCUCAGUCCUACCUGGACCGAAGCCGAAGCAGGCUGAAGCGAGCGUGUGAGCCCCGGAUUCCAGACCCGCGUCUGAUGCUUCAGGACCUGUGAUGAUGUGCAGUGUGUGCUAGGUGUCACCCAGCCUCACACGCCGUCAUAGGUUAUGUGCUUAACAAAAAACACCAGAGAGAAAAUCCCGAUGAACCCAAAUUUAGACACCACUCAUUUCAAAAAAAAAAAAAAAAAGAGGGUUCCACGUGGUCUUACAUACUGAGUUCCUAUCGCGUGUCACAAUACACAGGAAACCUGUCCCCUUGCUCAAGGAGCUGUAUUGUGACUCAGCAGGGGAGUGCAUGUACAAAAGCCUGGCCUCGGCCAGAGCUUGCCCAAGAGCCUGGUGAACAGACCUAGGCUUCAAAAGGAUUGGCAAUUUCUGCCUUAUUUGAAGGCAGCUGCUGUGGAAAAACCAUCACUGAGGUCACCAUGCCGAGAGCAGUCAUGUGAAGAGACUGGAAGACACCAAGGAUCUUACCAUGUGAAUGAAGCUUUUGGGAGCAUCAAUGGAACUGUAACCACCAACUGAGAUGCGAAAUGCAUGAUCUUCAUCCAGGCUGUGGAGCAGCAGCAGAACUACAGGGUAGAACCAUCCUUGAGUGCCAGCUCACAUAAUGUGAGGCCCCUAAUUUUUAAAGAUAAUUUGCUAUCCAACAAUAUGUAUCCAAAGUAUAGCAGUGCUAAAGUGGGAGAUGCAUACAUACAUACAUUCAUACAUACAUACAUACAAACAAACAAACAAACAAACAUACAUUUGACUUAGUAAACCUGCCUUUAGGAAUCCCUUAGAAAUAAAAGUGUAUUAACACCAUCAAAGAAACCUUUUUUUUUUUACAGCAAAUGGAGACCAUCACAGAAAACCAGAAAUGGGCACAGUACAGAAAUCAACGGAUUGUGGGGAGCACAACCCCAAUGAAUGUAUCUACAUCCAUGAUUCAAAAUAUAUCAGAAGGGGAUGGAAAGAUUGUAAGAGCCAAAAUUCCAGGAAGUCAUCUAUGAAAUGGACUCUCCUAGAAAUGGCUUUAUAACAACUAGGACAAUGGUAAUAUCAAUGGACAUGCUGGAGUGGGGAGCAGAAAAUUUCAGUGGUGUUUCAUCCCUAGACAAUGAGUGACAGCUAAUGACUGCUGGAGAAUUACACUCUCCAGGGAAGAGCCCCUUGGAUGUUAAAUAUAGAGUGGUCAGCCUUGAAGCCAUAUACAUACAAUGAACCAAAUAAGUUCUGUUUACAUAUAUCUGUGCAUACACACACAUGUAACAAGUAUAAUUAAAGAAGCCAUCAAGUUGAGGGGAUACAUGGGAGGAGUUUGAGUGAGGGAAAGAAGGAGGAAGUGGUGUAAUUUCAUUUCAAUUAACAUUUUUUAAAGUAUACGAUAUGGUUAGAAACAAGUAGAUUUUAAUACAUCCAUAUCAUGAAA